GAUGAAGAACGUAGCGAAAUGCGAUAAGUAAUGCGAAUUGCAGAAUUUCCGUGAGUCAUCGAAUCUUUGAACGCACAUUGCGCCCCCUGGUAUUCCGGGGGCAUGCCUGUCCGAGCGUCAUUGCUGCCCUCAAGCACGGCUUGUGUGUUGGGCCUCCGUCCUCCUCCCGGGGGACGGGCCCGAAAGGCAGCGGCGGCACCGCGUCCGGUCCUCGAGCGUAUGGGGCUUCGUCACCCGCUCUUGUAGGCCCGGCCGGCGCUUGCCGACACAUCAAUCUUUUUUCCAGGUUGACCUCGGAUCAGGUAGGGAUACCCGCUGAACUUAAGCAUAUCAAUAAGCGGAGGA
rnacentral:misc_RNA from 1 species